rnacentral:lncRNA from 1 species
UGGCCUAGGAAUGCCUGCAUGCCCAUUAGGUCAGGGCUGCGUGCCUGCACGCCCGCUGGGUCGGGGCCGCGUGCCGGGCCACACCCACCUACAGUCGGCCCACACACGCCUGCAUGCUGGCCUGGGCUACGCCGGACCAUGGGCCCUCUUCGAUGGCCUAUGGGCCAUGCCAGCCUGCUACUGGCCUUUUCUUAUGUGUAUCUCU